rnacentral:misc_RNA from 1 species
AGCAGCCGCGGUAAUUCCAGCUCCAAUAGCGUAUAUUAAAGUUGUUGCAGUUAAAAAGCUCGUAGUUGAAUUUCGGGGUUAGCAGGUCGGUCGUGCCAUUGGUAUGAACUGGUCUCGCUGAUCCCUCCCUCUUGACGAACUGUGAUGCCAUUAAUUUGGUGUCGCAGGGAAUCAGGACUGUUACUUUGAAAAAUUAGAGUGUUUAAAGCAGGCUCACGCUUGAAUACAUUAGCAUGGAAUAAUGAAAUAGGACGUUUGAUCCUAUUUUGUCGGCUUCUAGGAUUGACGUAAUGGUUAAUAGGGAUAGUUGGGGGCAUUAGUAUUCAAUUGUCAGAGGUGAAAUUCUUGGAUUUAUUGAAGACUAACUACUGCGAAAGCAUUUGCCAAGGAUGUUUUCAUUAAUCAAGAACGAAAGUUAGGGGAUCGAAGACGAUCAGAUACCGUCGUAGUCUUAACCAUAAACUAUGCCGACUAGGGAUCGGAUGAUGUUAAUUUUUAAUGACUCAUUC